GCGGCCGUGACCCUGCUGGAGUGCGGGGGGAACCUCCAGCCCCCCGGGGGGUCCCUGCGCCUCCUCUGCCGAGGGUCCGGGUCCAGUUUUGGCAGUUCCACCAUGCUCUGGAUCCGCCAGAGACCCCGACAGGCGCUGGAAUGGCUCGUGGGGAUCACCAGUGGUGGCACCACCGCCUACGCGCCGUCUGUCAAGGGCCGGGUCACGAUCUCCAGGGACAACGGGCAGAGCUCGGUGACGCUGACCAUGAACAACCUCAAGGUCGAGGAUUCCGGAUCCUAUUUCUGCGCCAAAUCUGUUGAUGAUGGUACUGGCUGGGAGACUGUUGCCUAUCGUGUUGACCCCAUGUCCUUUAGCAGAGUCCACAGAGAUUGCGAGAGCUCCAUGCAGGAUUGA